AGAUUUAACAAUUCCACAUUUUGCUCUACAAUUAAUUGGCUCAGAAAUAUUUGAUUAACAACAUAAUUGUCUCUUUCAAAUUAAAAAUACAUAUA